rnacentral:rRNA from 1 species
CCCUUAGAUGUUCUGGGCCGCACGCGCGCUACACUGACGAAUGCAACGAGCUUAUAACCUUGGCCGAAAGGUCUGGGUAAUCUCCAAAUUUCGUCGUGAUGGGGAUAGAUUAUUGCAAUUAUUAAUCUUCAACGAGGAAUGCCUAGUAAGCGCAAGUCAUCAGCUUGCGUUGAUUACGUCCCUGCCCUUUGUACACACCGCCCGUCGCUCCUACCAAUUGAAUGGUCCGGUGAAGCGUUCGGACCGUGGCCUUUGGACGGUUCGCCGUCUGUUGGCUGCGGGAAGUUCGUUAAACCUUAUCAUUUAGAGGAAGGAGAAGUCGUAACA